rnacentral:rRNA from 1 species
CCCUUAGAUGUUCUGGGCCGCACGCGCGCUACACUGAACAGUUCAACAAGUCUUAACCUUGGCCGAUAGGUCUGGGUAAUCUUUGAACGCUGUUCGUGAUUGGGAUAGACCUUUGCAAUUAUGGGUCUUCAACGAGGAAUUCCUAGUAAACGCAAGUCAUCAGCUUGCAUUGAUUACGUCCCUGCCCUUUGUACACACCGCCCGUCGCACCUACCGAUUGAAUGGUCCGGUGAAGCGUUCGGACCGUGGCCUUUGGACGGUUCGCCGUCUGUUGGCUGCGGGAAGUUCGUUAAACCUUAUCAUUUAGAGGAAGGAGAAGUCGUAACA